GGAGCAGUUUCUUUGCUGCAAGAGUGUUGAGGCGUUGGAACAGGCUGCCCAGGGAGGAGGUGGAGUCCCCAUCCCUGGAGGUGUCCAUGCAACGUGUGGGCAUGGCACCUGGGGCUGUGGUGGUGGUGGAUUGAUGGUUGGACUCACACCAAACAAUUCUGUGAUUCUAUAGGAAGUGAUGAGCAGAGAAAACGACUCCAUGGACGAGCUGCAGAACAUCUGGAGUGGCAGUAGUGAAGGCAGAACCCCCAGGGGCCACCACUAAAUGAACCUUUUAGUGCUCCUGAUGAAGCAAACCAAACCUGCUGUCUGGGCCCAAGGAAGUGCAGCUGCCUGGGGGCCUCAUGGGAUGUGUGGUCCAGUGCCAGCUACCUGCUGCUUGCGGUCUCCAGAGAUGCUUGUGGAAGGUCUCUGCUGCACUUUUGCCUGGAUGAGCACAACUUCUCCUGCAGCACAGGGGCUCAGAAGCUGGACAGGCAGGAAGAUUUGUCCCUGGCAGUUCAUCCCCACAGCUCCUCUGCCUGGGCAGUGCCAAGGGGCAUCAGGAGAAACCCUCAGGCUUGGUCAGCCACAGCAAGCUGCUGCUGCUUGUCGCCUUUCCACAGCCAGUAAGCCAUCAAAGCAUCAGUUGUUGCCUCCCACAGCUGGAAGAGGGACAGAGCAGAGCUGGGCUCAAGCAAGGGGUAGGUGACCACAGCAUGGGAGCUGGUGGGGGUGGGCCAGCACACAGGGUCCAGAGGUGCCAGGGAGCCCCAAAGACCCCAUCCUGAGCUGCUCUUAGCAUAGGACUGCCUUGGGAUUGGGUCUAAGGUGCAGGCUGGGGUGAGGGGUGGU